UGCUUUAUUUCAUUAUUUUUAUUGUAAGCUCUGCUUUUGCAAUAAUUUAUUGUAAACAGUUUAAUAUCAAGUUUAAUCGCGUCCCAAAGAAGAUGCACAUCCGUAGUUGUGUCUUGCAUAAUUGUUUUGUAUUUUGCAAUAAUUAUUUCUAUUUCUUUACAAUAUUCAUUUUCUUCUAAAAUGGAAUUAUUUAAUUUCCAGUAUCCUGGACCUCUACUCUCGGCCGUUACGCUUUGUAAUUUUAGAGACACGCCUUGGUGGUCUGUGCUUUUUAUUAGUGCGGGUCUUAUGUCGCUUGAUUUUGUAUUGAGCACAAAAUCUUUAUUUAUUAAAAAGUAAUCAAUUCUACUAGCUUGACUGAAGUUUUGUCUUUUCCAGGUAUACUGUAUUUUUUUAGGAUUUAAAUAUCGCCAUAUAUCGAUUAGAUUGUGUGUUUUAAUUAAAGAUUUUAAACUAUUUACUGGUUUUAUAUUUUUGCGUUUUCCAUUAGUAAGUUUUCUAUCUAAGUUUGACAGUGCAUCGUUCAUGUCGCCGCCUAUUAUUACCGUUCCAAUUGCAUAAUUACUUAUGAAAUCAGACAGAUUUUUAAAGAACUUGUUUCUUUCCGUUUCUAUGUUUGGUGCAUAUAUGUUAAUGAGCGAAUAAAUUAUAUUUUCUAUUUCUAUGUUUAACAUUAGUAUUCUACCGUCUUUGUCUUUGUUUUCAUUGAUUACUUUACAUUCUAACUUAUUAUCAAUUAUAAUGGCUACCCCUUUACUUUGGGUUGUACCAUGACUAAAAUAGAUAACGUUACUAGUUUCAGUAUAUAAUUUUUUUUCAAGAUUUUCAUCAAAGUGACUUUCUUGUAUAAAAGUUAUAAGACUUUUUUGAUUUUUUAUCCAUUGAUAAAAUCUUGUUCUUUUCUCUUUAUCUCUGAGUCCUUUAACAUUCAGCGUACAUAUGUGGAUGUCUUUUAUCAUAUUGAUUGUUUUUAAAUUUGUUAUUUAUUUUAUUUAAAGUACGCUUGACUGACUCGUAACUACUUUCUUUGUUGAUAAAUUCUAAAGGUGUAACACGUGACAACCUGAUGGUAAAGUUGUUUAAAGCUGUUGGGUUACUUUUAGUGCCAUUUAUUAAAAUUUCAAAGUUGUUUAUUAUUUUGAUUCUAGUCUUAGGUGGUUUGUGUAUUCUUUCCUUUCUUAGUGCACAUUUAAUUUUAAAAAGUGAAGAUAAAAAUAGGCAUUGUUUUGUCUUCACACAUACACAGUUGUUGUUUAUAUAAAUAUUUUUAUCUGGGACUUUCAAUUUUUUAUUUUUUAUUUUAUUAGCUUUUUUCCUAAAUGUGCCUAGUUUAGUUAAAGUUUCCGCUAGCCGUAUGUGAUUGCUUGGCAUGUUUGUUCUAACUUUAAAUAUAAACUUUAAGAUGUUUUCUGAUCUUAUGUAUGUUAUAAGAUGUUUACAUAUUAUACAAUGUAUACAAUAUAGAACUACGAGUACAUAACAGUAGCGCAAGCUUG
rnacentral:lncRNA from 1 species